rnacentral:rRNA from 1 species
GACGAGGGGUCCAAGCGUUGUUCGGAAUCAUUGGGCGUAAAGCGGGUGUAGGUGGCUUUGUAAGUCAGGAGUGAAAUCCCCGAGCUUAACUUGGGAAGUGCUUUUGAAACUGCAAAGCUUGAGUGUGGGAGAGGAUCGUGGAAUUCCAGGUGUAGUGGUGAAAUACGUAGAUAUCUGGAGGAACACCGGUGGCGAAGGCGGCGAUCUGGCCCAACACUGACACUGAGACCCGAAAGCGUGGGGAGCAAACAGG